GCAGGCCAGAGGAAAAAAGAUAUCCAGGUUUUAAUGUUCAAAGAAUUAUCGCCUCAAUCUUAUCAAUGAAAGGUCCUUCUGUGUGUUUCCCAUAUCUGAGAAUGUAGAGAUCAGAAAACUCGACAAACAUGGGUUAGACUUCAGCGCUGCUGAUCAACAGGGAAACACAAUGGAAAGAUGCAUAACAAUAGAUCGUAUUGAUCAGUUCAAGGAGUAACUAAAUGAAGUCUCAGUCUACACCUUGGAAUUUUUUCAUUGCUGAUGACGCACUGAAAACUACAAGAGGACAGAACAUCUAUUCAGAAUUAAGAUUACUCGACAAAGGAAAGUGCAUGAAGUUGUUCUACAGCCUAACAAUUUUCCUCUGGUUGCAUAUAACGCAAAACUGUUUGUCGUUCUGAAGGAAACAAUGCAGUCCUAUCAGGCCAAUGAGAGCCCUGACCUGAAAAUAAAACGACAAGAGACAUUCAGUCAAGCCUCAGGUUUGACGACAACAAAAUUAUGCUCAGUCAAGCCUCAAAAUAUGCCAUACCGAAGACCUAUGUGCCCAAAAUAAUAAAUCAGAAUGGAGUCAGCACGCUCUAGGUAUAUGGUUCUGAGGUAGAGAAGGUGCUCUGCUUCACUGGAACUCUACUUUCGGAUGGUGGUGUCUGAAGAAUUGAUGUUUGAUUACACCUCUACUUAUAUCCUGUAGUUUGCUUCUGCGUCAGUUUUCUGGGCUGAGAAGUUUGAAUUCUGUAAUGGUUUUGCCUGGGUGUCUCGGCUUGCUCCUGCGUGGGCACUUAUGUUCUACAAUCUGUAAUCGAUCUAAAAAUGCUAUAACUGGUGUUUUUUUACUUUUGAACUACAACUGGUUUGUGAGACAUUGUUACCUCUUAUAUUUCAAGUUUUCUUUAAUAAUACAGUACCAUAUUUUAUUC